rnacentral:rRNA from 1 species
UACGUAGGGGGCAAGCGUUGUCCGGAUUUAUUGGGCGUAAAGAGCGUGUAGGCGGCCAGACAGGUCCGUUGUGAAAACUGGAGGCUCAACCUCCAGACGUCGAUGGAAACCGUCUGGCUAGAGUCCGGAAGAGGAGAGUGGAAUUCCUGGUGUAGCGGUGAAAUGCGCAGAUAUCAGGAAGAACACCCGUGGCGAAAGCGGCUCUCUGGGACGGUACUGACGCUGAGGAGCGAAAGCGUGGGGAGCGAACAGG